rnacentral:misc_RNA from 1 species
CCAAAGCCUCACUACUUAAGGCAUUCCUUUGUGCUGUCAUUCCUAGGAACGAAGCAAUCUUUCUUGACAUCACAAAAAAUAUAGUGUAGAGUGGGACAUUGA